GAAAUGCGAUAAGUAAUGUGAAUUGCAGAAUUCAGUGAAUCAUCGAAUCUUUGAACGCACAUUGCGCCCGCCAGUAUUCUGGCGGGCAUGCCUGUUCGAGCGUCAUUUCAACCAUCAAGCCCCCGGGCCGGUGUUGGGGACCUGCGGCCGCCGCAGGCGACGAAAAGCAGUGGCGGGCUCGCUGUCACCCAGAGCGUAGUAGUAAUCACCUCGCUUAGGGCGUGCUGUGGGCGCCGGCCGUUAAAAACCAAUAUACCACCCAAAGGUUGACCUCGGAUCAGGUAGGAAUACCAGCUGAACUUAA
rnacentral:misc_RNA from 1 species